UUACGGCCAUAUCACGAUGAAACAUUGGUUCUCGUCCGAUCACUGAAGUUAAGCAACAUCAAGCCUAAUUAAUACAUAGAUGGGAGAGCGCUUGAGAAUACCAGGUGUUAU